rnacentral:rRNA from 1 species
CUGAACCUUCGGGGAACGAUAACGGCGUCGAGCGGCGGACGGGUGAGUAAUGCCUAGGAAAUUGCCCUGAUGUGGGGGAUAACCAUUGGAAACGAUGGCUAAUACCGCAUGAUGCCUACGGGCCAAAGAGGGGGACCUUCGGGCCUCUCGCGUCAGGAUAUGCCUAGGUGGGAUUAGCUAGUUGGUGAGGUAAGGGCUCACCAAGGCGACGAUCCCUAGCUGGUCUGAGAGGAUGAUCAGCCACACUGGAACUGAGACACGGUCCAGACUCCUACGGGAGGCAGCAGUGGGGAAUAUUGCACAAUGGGCGCAAGCCUGAUGCAGCCAUGCCGCGUGUGUGAAGAAGGCCUUCGGGUUGUAAAGCACUUUCAGUCGUGAGGAAGGUAGUGUAGUUAAUAGCUGCAUUAUUUGACGUUAGCGACAGAAGAAGCACCGGCUAACUCCGUGCCAGCAGCCGCGGUAAUACGGAGGGUGCGAGCGUUAAUCGGAAUUACUGGGCGUAAAGCGCAUGCAGGUGGUUUGUUAAGUCAGAUGUGAAAGCCCGGGGCUCAACCUCGGAAUAGCAUUUGAAACUGGCAGACUAGAGUACUGUAGAGGGGGGUAGAAUUUCAGGUGUAGCGGUGAAAUGCGUAGAGAUCUGAAGGAAUACCGGUGGCGAAGGCGGCCCCCUGGACAGAUACUGACACUCAGAUGCGAAAGCGUGGGGAGCAAACAGGAUUAGAUACCCUGGUAGUCCACGCCGUAAACGAUGUCUACUUGGAGGUUGUGGCCUUGAGCCGUGGCUUUCGGAGCUAACGCGUUAAGUAGACCGCCUGGGGAGUACGGUCGCAAGAUUAAAACUCAAAUGAAUUGACGGGGGCCCGCACAAGCGGUGGAGCAUGUGGUUUAAUUCGAUGCAACGCGAAGAACCUUACCUACUCUUGACAUCCAGAGAACUUUCCAGAGAAUGGAUUGGUGCCUUCGGGAACUCUGAGACAGGUGCUGCAUGGCUGUCGUCAGCUCGUGUUGUGAAAUGUUGGGUUAAGUCCCGCAACGAGCGCAACCCUUAUCCUUGUUUGCCAGCGAGUAAUGUCGGGAACUCCAGGGAGACUGCCGGUGAUAAACCGGAGGAAGGUGGGGACGACGUCAAGUCAUCAUGGCCCUUACGAGUAGGGCUACACACGUGCUACAAUGGCGCAUACAGAGGGCGGCCAACUUGCGAAAGUGAGCGAAUCCCAAAAAGUGCGUCGUAGUCCGGAUUGGAGUCUGCAACUCGACUCCAUGAAGUCGGAAUCGCUAGUAAUCGUGGAUCAGAAUGCCACGGUGAAUACGUUCCCGGGCCUUGUACACACCGCCCGUCACACCAUGGGAGUGGGCUGCAAAAGAAGU